rnacentral:rRNA from 1 species
GACGAACGCUGGCGGCGUGCUUAACACAUGCAAGUCGAACGGGAUUUAGUAAACAGAAACCUCGGUGGAAGAUUACUAAUGAGAGUGGCGAACGGGUGAGUAACGCGUGAGCAACCUGCCUAUGACAGUGGGAUAGCCUCGGGAAACCGGGAUUAAUACCGCAUAAAAUCGUAGAAACACAUGUUUUAACGGUCAAAGAUUUAUCGGUCAUAGAUGGGCUCGCGUCUGAUUAGCUAGUUGGUGAGAUAACAGCCCACCAAGGCGACGAUCAGUAGCCGGUCUGAGAGGAUGAACGGCCACAUUGGAACUGAGACACGGUCCAAACUCCUACGGGAGGCAGGAGUGGGGAAUAUUGCACAAUGGGGGAAACCCUGAUGCAGCGACGCCGCGUGAACGAAGAAGGUAUUCGUAUCGUAAAGUUCUGUCCUAUGGGAAGAUAAUGACAGUACCAUAGAAGAAGGCUCCGGCUAAAUACGUG